GUUUUGGUUAUUGAGUCAUCUGCUUUUGGUUAUUGAUUCAUCCGCUUUCGGUUUACAGAUUUCAUCUAUGCGUUUGGUGUGUGUAUAACUAUAUAUAUAUAUACAUAUUGUUUGUUAUUGAUUUGUCCUCUGUUUGGGGGAUCUGUAAUCACUUUUUUUUUUUUAGUUAUACUUGAACAAAAUAGGCACUAACUAGAGAAUUUGGUGGCAGUUAUGGCUCGUAGAAAGUUGUCGAAGACAAAAAGGAUUCUUCUAAUGCUGGACAAUAUUAAGGAUUUGCUUAACUUUGUCGUGAUGAUAUACAUUAUGAUGUAUAUCAUUGCAGAAAGACAUUAUCGGAAGUAUAGAUUGAAAUCACCAUCUUUUUAUGAUGCUUUGUCAAGAAUUGGAAAUGUUCAACGAAUGGUGUAUGCAAGCGAUGUAAGAUGCAUAAACAGUCUCCGCAUGGAUAGGCAUACAUUUAGCUUAUUGUGCUCUAUGUUACGCACAUCUGGUAAAUUAAGAGACACAAGAAAUGUAUCUGUAGAUGAAAUGGUGGCUAUGUUCUUGCAUAUUCUUGCGUACCAUGAAAAGAACAGAAUCAUACAAGAUAGAUUUUUGCGUUCUGGGGAAACAAUUAGCAGAUAUUUUAACGCGGUAUUAAGAGCAGUCCUAUGUCUACAAGGACAAUUGUUAAAAACACCAGAACCUGUUCCAGAAAACUCAUCUGAUGAGAAGUGGAAAUGGUUUAAGAAUUGUCUCGGGGCGCUAGAUGGGACAUAUAUUAGAGUACAUGUGACAGAAGCGGACAAGCCUAGGUACCGAAGUAGGAAGAAUGAAAUUGCUACUAAUGUCUUGGGAGUAUGCUCCCAAGAUAUGAAAUUCAUUUAUGUGUUACCUGGUUAGGAGGGUUCGGCUGCAGAUUCACGAGUACUACGUGAUGCCAUUAGUAGGAGACAUGGUUUCCGAGUUCCCCAUGGAUAUUACUACCUUGUUGAUGCUGGGUAUCCAAAUGGGGAGGGGUUUCUUGCUCCAUAUAGAGGCCAGAGAUACCAUUUAAAUGAUUGGAGAGAAGGAUAUCAACCUACCACCCCCGAAGAGUUUUUUAAUAUGAAGCAUUCUUCUGCUAGGAAUGUGAUAGAGAGAUGUUUUGGGUUACUUAAGAUGCGAUGGGCAAUUCUAAGGAGCCCUUCAUUUUUUCCAGUGAAGACACAGUGCCGAAUUGUUAUAGCAUGUUGCUUGCUGCACAACCUUAUAAGAAGGGAAAUGGCAAUUGAUCCCUUAGAAAAUGAACUGAAUGCCAUUGUGAAUAACCAAGAUGAUGAUGAUGAUGAUGAUGAUGAUGAUGAUGAUAUAAUCAAUUUUAUCGACUCAUCAGAACAAUGGAAUGAUUGGAGAAGAGAGUUGGCAACACAAAUGUUCAAUGAAUGGAGAGGAACUAGGAGCAGAAGAUGAAAAACUUGGCUGGAGAGUUCAUCAUCCGACUAAAAGAAGAAGAACUGGAGAGUUUAUUUUGUUUGCAGCUUUUGUUGUGAAGUUAAGUAGGCUAUGUUGUAUGCAACUGCUAUUUUGUUUGCAGCUUUACUUUCUUGGUUUGGAGCUGCACAAUUUGGUGCUUUUUAUUUAUUUUAUAUGCAACUGCUAUUUUGUACUUGCAGCUUUUCAUUCUUGGUUUGGAGCU